ensembl:lncRNA
AAGAUGCUCACGUCCUAAGCCUGAGCCUGUGAAUGUUUCCUCACACGGCGAAAAGACUUGCAGGUGUGAUUAAAUUAAGGCUCUUGAGAUGGAGCGUCUCCUAGAUUAUGAGGUGGGCCCGACAUGAUCAUGAGGCUCCUUAUAAGAGGGAGGCAGGCGGUGCACAGAGCAGGCCAUCUGGAGAGGAAGUGGAGGGCAAGGAGGCGAUGUGCUCCCAGAGGCAGAGGUUGGAGUGACGCCAUCGCUGGAAGGGGAUCACGAGCUGAAGGAUGCAGACAGCCUCCGAAGCUGGAAAAAGCAAAGACGCGGAUUCUCUCCUCCAGUCUCCAGAAAGAAUGCAGCCUUGCUGGCUCAUUUUGGAUCCUGACCUCCAGAAUUAUGAUGGAACCAAGGACCAGGCAGGUCAAGUGACUGGAUGAGGAUCUCCCAUGGCUGGUAUGUGCAGAGCUUGGAUUUAGAACCCUGGCCUGGACACCCUACUGCUUCCUGCCUCCUUAGUGCUGUGUGGCCCAGGAUCAGAAUGGCCCAGCUCGGACUUGGGCAUCAGAUAUUCCAGAGCUGGCGUUGGCCAGAGCUCUCGGAGCCAUAAAUAGCCUCCAUCCCCAGUGGAAUGUGCUGUGUGGAGAACUUCAAGUCUCUGCAGUCCAAGAAAAGCAUCAGCAAGCCUGUGGGGAGAGUCUGCAAGGGCCGCCCCCUGGGAGAGCACGGAGAAGGCGCAGGUCCUGCCAGGGAAGGAAAGCCAGCCUACCGUGCUCCCGUGCCUUUCUCCAAUUGGACUAAGAUCAGAGGACACCCUCAUCCCCCACCCCAGGACUUCACGGGCCACGAGGGCUGCAAUGACGAGGAGGAGAAUGUAAGAAGGUGGAAGGAAACUGAAUUAGGAGUCAGAAGACCCAGGUUCAAGUUCUGACUUUGCCAUUUAUUUACUGGCAAUGGAUCAUCCAUGACAAUGGAUUGAGUUCCUGCUCUGAGGUCUGUCUUAGGUGCUGGAGACACAGUGGUGAACACAGCAGACAAAGUCCCUGGCCUCAUGGAACUCACAGUCCAGGGGGAGAGACAGGUACUCAAAAAGUAAACUCCUGAGUUAAUUUCAGACAGCAAUCGUUGCUGGGAAGAGAAUAAGACAACAGUGCAGGCAAUGACCAGGAGGGGCUGGGCUUAGCAUGGUGUAUCAGUGGGGUGUACCCAGAGAUGGCACACUUCAAGGAGUGAGUGAAGAGCAUCUGUUUAUGGAGAAACUAUAGAGGUGUGGGCACAGGUAAGGGAAACACUGGGGUACAGCGAUGCACCCAGGAUAGCCCCAGUGGGAAGCCAGUACCUCUUCCAGCUGAAAGAUCGAGGAGAGAGAGCCAUGACCAGAACCAGCAAGACCUAUAGGAGAGGACUGCCAGAGGCGCUGUGGCCCUCAGGAGAGGACCCAGCACUGCCAAACCAAGGCCUGGAAGGGAAGGCAUCCGGGGAGCACUCCUACCUCACUCUUCUUCCUCCCUCCAACCUCCUGACAGGCUUCCCAUUGGCUGAAACCCACUAUGACCUCAAGGCAAGGGAGCCUGGGCGGUGGAGGACCCACAGGUCAGCCGUCCAGGGCACCAAGCGAGCUGAAGAUGGGAGGAUGGCAGAUCUAGAGGGCCAAGCAGAGAAUAGCCAAGUCUGGGGACAAAGUUGGGCAACAGCAUUGGGAAUGUAAAACCCAGAUUGAGAGACCCACCAAGAGGCUGACGAGUGACCGGAUGCAGCCCUUCUCUUUCCAGGCCUCAGUUUCCUCAUCUGUAAAGUGAGGAUUGGAACCCAACCCAGGAUUGGCUCCCCUCUUGUGCUUACAUCCCAGAACCCCAGCUGGUCCUGGGGCUCUGCUCUCUGCGCCCCACUGCGCCUCGCAGAGAAGCCGAUCAGCACGAGCUUUCAGAAUGGAAGGAUGACGCCCUGCGUGUGACAGUGUACAAGGUGUACCAAGUUAAAAGAGUCGCUGCAGAUGCAACUUCAUCUUCAAGCGUGGAGCAUUAUAGUAUGGUUGUACCUAUGUUAAAAUUAUAAAGGACAAGAAUAAACCUAAGCAUAAAAAAAGACUGGAAGGAAAGACAACCACAAAUUUUAGCAGCUCUGAUCUGUGGGUGUGUUUUGCUUUUUAUAGUUUUCUAUGUUUGCAAUUUUUCUAAGUUGAGUGUGUGUGUAGGGGGAAAUGUAAGGAAAAAUGUGAAACAAAACUCUGGACGUUAAGCAUGAAUUAGAGUUUAAGAAAAUUUGGCUCGGGCCAAGGAGUGUUAAAGGAUUUGUAACCAAAUGUGGUCCAAGUCCCAGGUCCUCUUGGCCCCCUUCCCUCCCACUCCUCCUCCCCACAUCCACCAAGCUCUGAGCGUGUGUCGCACCAGCGGGAGACACUGGAAAUGCAGUGAUGGAGGGCGGGCAGUAACUGCCCCGUGUUUUCCUGUCUCAUACAGACCGGCUGACCUCGCUUCACUUGGUAACAUUGUGUUGGUGGUGGUUUUCCCUAACCUGCAGCUUUCCUGCUGUGGCUCUGCCUUCCAGAAGCCUCCUGUCUGUGCGGGUUUCUGGCCCCUGGAGGAUUGGAGAGCCCAACGAUUCAGUGUGUAGGCUUUGGAGCCAGGCAAACCUGGGUUCAAAUCUUG